rnacentral:rRNA from 1 species
AGAAUGAACGCUAGCUACAGGCUUAACACAUGCAAGUCGAGGGGCAUCAUGAAGUCAGCUUGCUGACUUGAUGGCGACCGGCGCACGGGUGCGUAACACGUAUCCAAUCUACCCAUGGCUCGGGGAUAGCCUUUCGAAAGAAAGAUUAAUACCCGAUGGUUUCAUCGCUCCGCAUGGAGUGUUGAAUAAAGAUUUAUCGGCGAUGGAUGAGGAUGCGUCCGAUUAGCUUGCUGGCGGGUAACGGCCCACCAAGGCGACGAUCGGUAGGGGCUCUGAGAGGAGGAUCCCCCACAUUGGAACUGAGACACGGUCCAAACUCCUACGGGAGGCAGCAGUGAGGAAUAUUGGUCAAUGGACGAGAGUCUGAACCAGCCAAGUAGCGUGAAGGGACGACUGCCCUAUGGGUUGUAAACCUCUUUUGUUUGGGAAUAAAGUGCGGGACGUGUCCUGCAUUGCAUGUACCUUACGAAUAAGCAUCGGCUAAUUCCGUGCCAGCCGCCGC